CUGAGGAUGGUCCUAGGCGACCGAAGCUAUUCAUAAUUUCAACACAUGCUUGGGUUUGCAAAACUCAAAUACAGUAGUGUCUGCUUUUCAAUCUGCCUUAUAAACCAAAGGAUAAAACAAAAGCCUCUUGCAUUUGCUCACACGUAUGAGUAUGCUUCAAAUUCCUCCCACGAGCGAGUCCUGAAUGGAAUGAAAGCGGACGCUUCGAGAACUGGAAAAAAAGAAGUUACUGGAAGCGACUCCGUCAGUUGUCAUUGUAACAGAAUAAAAUAAUAAUGAAAAGAAAAAAAGAAGCUACUCUUGGUUGUUCAGACGAGGGGUGUGUGCUAUCCUACAGUGCUGUAAGAAGGCACGCGUGUCAAUCUGCUCUCCUCCAAGCUGCUCAAGUUCUUGGUGGCAGGGCUUUGCUGCUUCCUUGCCCCGCCAUUUGCAGGAGGUACUGACCUCCUCGGGGCGCAAAAAAUGCCUUCGAGAAGAGUUCUCUGACCCUACCAGCAACGGGAACAAGAGGAGAGAAAAAGAGAGAGAGAGAGAAAGAGGAUGUGGGGAGGCGCGCGUGCGUGUCUGUCUGGCGGAGAGAAAAUGCCAGCUGUCCCAUGAGCAUCCGACAAGCCUUCCCGGUGGGCAGCAGCUAGUGGAGCCGCCAGUUAUCCUCGCUACAAACUGUGUAGAGGACAAAGAUGUCACUCAUACCUACUAUGUCGAAGCAAUGAAAGAAAACAAAACAAAUCCAAACUUGUAGACAGUUUCUGGAGACGCUCUGUUCUGCUGAUGCCUGCUUCCCACCAUCAUGACAGCACAAGCCAAAACAACAAAAAAAAAAGAAGUCUUCCUUCCUGAUGGCAGUUCUUGGCUUCCCAACCAGAGAGAAAAAAAAACAAAACUAUUCAGGAACUGCUGUGUUCUUUGUGGUUUGUUUGUUUGUAAUAUUUUUUAAAUUUUUUUUCUUUUUUCUUUUUUUUUUAAUAUACUUAAGGCAUUGUUCCUCAAACUUCAGAAAAUCCAGCUGCACCAAAUCCAUCAAUUAAAAAAAAAAGGCACAAACUCAUCUUCAGAUGGCUUUGGAGACAAUAAAGCCGACUCCAUCUGGGCUA